rnacentral:rRNA from 1 species
UACGAAGGGGGCGAGCGUUGUUCGGAAUCACUGGGCGUAAAGCGCGCGCAGGCGGCUCGUCAAGCCUGACGUGAAAGCCCCCGGCUCAACUGGGGAGGGUCACGCGAUACUGAUCGACUCGAAGGCAGGAGAGGGAAGUGGAAUUCCCGGUGUAGUGGUGAAAUGCGUAGAUAUCGGGAGGAACACCAGUGGCGAAGGCGACUUCCUGGCCUGUUCUUGACGCUGAGGCGCGAAAGCUAGGGGAGCAAACGGG